GACGAACGCGGCGGCGUGCUUAACACAUGCAAGUCGAACGAAGAGCGAUGGAAGCUUGCUUCUAUCAAUCUUAGUGGCGAACGGGUGAGUAACGCGUAAUCAACCUGCCCUUCAGAGGGGGACAACAGUUGGAAACGACUGCUAAUACCGCAUACGAUCUAAUCUCGGCAUCGAGGAUAGAUGAAAGGUGGCCUCUACAUGUAAGUUAUCACUGAAGGAGGGGAUUGCGUCUGAUUAGCUAGUUGGAGGGGUAACGGCCCACCAAGGCGAUGAUCAGUAGCCGGUCUGAGAGGAUGAACGGCCACAUUGGGACUGAGACACGGCCCAGACUCCUACGGGAGGCAGCAGUGGGGAAUCUUCCGCAAUGGACGAAAGUCUGACGGAGCAACGCCGCGUGAGUGAUGACGGCCUUCGGGUUGUAAAGCUCUGUUAAUCGGGACGAAAGGCCUUCCUGCGAAU
rnacentral:rRNA from 1 species